UGACAGGUAGACAUCUACGGGUAAAUGUUUACUUUUGAAGUGAUCGCGGAUAGAUCCACUGCCAGCUAUCGAAGACUCAUCUGCAUUUCAUUUGUUUGUUGUGAGGAUAAUUGCUCUCAGAAAUCCAUCUGUUUUAAUGCUGACGACGUCACCAGAUACUCCCUAGGCGUGACAGUGCCUACACAUUCAAACUCAACAUCAGAUUAUAUUUUGCAAUGCAUAGGUACCCCAGUUUGAUUAUGAACUACAGGUAGAACCGAUCUGAAGCUACAAGUACAUGUAUAUCACCAAUUUGAAAACAAGAGCAAACGAAGUUAUAAAAGCACCUGCUCAAAACUGGAAGUCUGGAGCAGCAUUUGUUUUCUAUAUGAUCAUCGAUAGAAAGAUUUUGCUUCAAGACUUUUGCCUAAUAGAUAACAUCAUUUAAAGUUUUUAUUUUUAUCGCGAACAUCCGACCAUCUAAUGGCUCGGUCUAUCAAUUAAUUUCCAAUCGGAAUCGGUAUCCAUAGUUUCCGUCCUCUUGCUAGCAUUAUUCCUGUUGAGUUGGGAACGAUGUUCAGGGAUAAAUUAGCGGUUUCGGAAACGCUGGAUUUGCCUUGUAUGUCUAAACAAUGCCAAAGCGUGACUCUUUGUCAACGGUGGACAACAGACGCAAAAUCAAUCACAAGAUGGAACGACAAAAUGAAUUUCUAAUGAUUUAAAAGCAUCGCUGAGGGAGAAAAUGAUAAGAUUUCAAUUAACUAACAAAUGAUUUCACAUUAGCAGAACCAAGUUCUUAAGGAAGGUGUACUGCAUCUUCACAGGAAUCCAAUUAUUAGAAGGCAGGAUGAGGAAAUCUUCAAGGAUCACGUAAAGUUUAUUCAUCAUUUCUUAAGGAAUCUGGCAUUGGUUUUACAGUGAGACAUUAAAAUCUUAAUACUGAAAAGUAGGAGUAAUGGACCAAAUAUACACAGACAGUUUUUAUCUCAGAACAUCGUCAUCAUUGUAUGAAGAAAAAAAUUACAAUUCAAUUUUCUUUGAAAUAUGUCAAAAUUUAUUCCAAGGCGACUUGAAAGUGAAGGAAUGUCAUUAGAUAGACCCCUGUCUCGUGUUGUGUGUGUGACUUGAUACACGUAGUGUUACAUAUAUAUCAUUCCUUCCAUCCUAAAAGUCUUCGGUUUCAAAAUGACUUUAGAAUUCUUACUUCAGAGAAUGAUGAGUAAAACGCCUACUAACCAUAGGUGGACUAAGAGCUUUUGUCAAAGGAAAGUAAUUCUAUAAGAUUUAUGAAAUUUUGUUAUACAAAAGUGCAUUUUUCAAUAACUGUAUUUAAAGUAUGGUCUGCUCAGUGCUCUGUCAUUCAUUACGAUGAAUUCGAUAAAGUUGGUGUAGUUCAAUACAUAUGCUGUAUAUUGCUUAUUUAUCAAGGAGUUAAGCAGCUAACGAGCCCGGGAACAUAUUGCGGCCCUUUGUCAGUAAGCCUAUAAUCACCAGUCACACAAUAGAUAUUUUUCGCUCAUUUGUCUACUUUAGAGAGACAGAUGUUUUACAGGGAACAGCAUCAUCUACAUAGAUACAACACCAUGCAGCGUGGUCUUUUCUGAUUCAUAUUCGAGAUUCUCUGGCAAGGUUGAAGGGGUAUUGUGUGAAAUGAUUUGAGUGUCGAACAUGGUCAUAUAUGAUAGAUUAAUACGUGGUAUUAACGGAAAUUAGUUUUUUGUUGAUUUUUUUUUUUCAGUUUGCACCAAUCGCGGGAACAAUAAAUUCAUAAUAUUAUGGGUUAUCAUUGAAAAUAAAAAAAGAAAUUACACAGAGGCGACCUAGAAAAUAUUAAUUUCGAAUAUAAUACAUCUGUCACAUCAAUACACUUAAGUUAUGGAAGAUAGCUUGUUUACCGGCUAUUGAUUGCAGAAGGAGCACAGAUUGAACCAGGAGGGGUUCUUUGUUGUAAAUGACGAACACAGCCAGGUACAACAAGAGGCGAUUGAUUCCAGACAAAAUCAGAGUAGAUAAACUCUCAGAUUCUUUGUCUUAAUCUAUUCAGUGACCAGUCUGUCUGUAGCUCUGUCCGACUGUCUACCUAGCUGUCGAUUGCUCUACUUUCUGAUUAAUUAAAGAUUCCCACCGGGGGAUCUCACGGGAGUGGUAAAUGUAAUUUAACAUUACUACUGACAAUUAUUGUUUAUAAGACCUAUUGUGAUUAUGCUCUUCAGAUAUCUAAAUGAGUCAAAUUAAACUUUGGUGCUGCGCACACUACACCACAGACACUCAGCGAGAGUGAGAGGAAUCACGUGAGGAGAGGUACAUGGUCUAAAGUGUAAUACAUUGUCAUAAUUUGUGUGGGUUAGUUGGUGUACGACUCAUCGCGAUAUACAAAGUACAUAUUGAAAAAUGUCAAGAGCCAACGUGAUGUAAAUGGGCCAUCACUGAGACCAAAUCCUUCAGAGUCAUUGGGAGCUCAGUAUGUCGAUAUACAUUGCAGAUUCAGUCACUUGAUGAUAUCUUCUUAACAAGAUAAAACAAAAAAUUCACAACCACACAACUGAAAUCGGCUUAUUUCGUGUUGACACUUACGGUUUAAGUACACCGUAUCAGCUUACAAUCUAUUGGUAAAGUUGCAAUCAUCACACUGCAAAACUACCGUUAUCAAUUCUAUAUCCAAACGAAAACAUGUAAAAUUAUGUUCACGUUCAGAUUUUGAAUUCCGUCGUGUAUAAAAUAUGAUAAUUGGCCGAGUAAACGUGUUGAAGGAAUGAAUCUCUGAUUUAUCCCUGCACUUGAGGAGUGAGCUUCUCCCCCUGACACCGCGUACAACGUCAGAAUAGUAUAUACCUUGAUCAACCAUAAUUCUUUCUUUAAUGUGAAUAAAGGAAUCUGGAUCAUCAUUUUGCCAGAUUUGUUUAGUUGCAACAAUUUACCAGAACCGUGGUGGAAAGGAUUGCCAUGGCAAUUUUAGCGAAAUUAGCAGAACUAAAAAGCUCUAAAUACCACGAGUCGGAGCAAUAAUUUAUAAUUACAAAGAGACCAUGGAUUGCCUCUCCCACCAUGAGGUCGACUUUAUGAACACACAACUUUUAUAACCAGACAUUUUUUUUCUCAUUCGCAAGCUGAAAAUCCAAAAUUAUAUAACUGGAUGUUAUGUCAAAUUUUUGUGCAGCUCCUAAACAGUCCACCCAUUCAGGAACAUUUUCCCCCCGUUACAGUUUAUAAAUCAUGUAUUUUUAGCAUAAACGACACGGUAGAACAUUUAAAACAAAGAAUGUCAGGCAUGUGCUUCAUUUCCUGUCAUCCAGUGUGUUCUUAACACUCAAAUAAAGCGUAAACUUAAAAUACACCUUUUGAUAGCUACUAAAUCAAUAAAUGAUUGUUGUUAAACAAUCCCUCUGCAUACUUCCAAUCAAAAUAUAGCAUCAAAAACAGAAACUUACCUUUCUUAGAGUUUUCAGAAUAGCCACCGCCAUCCUUUUGCAACAAUUUGUCAAGUGCUUGAGAGAUACCAAAUUAUCGAUCUGGAGCUAUCAAUUCUAAGAUUGAACCGGCGAAUCUGCGACCAUUAGGCGACAAUUAAUCGGUGAGGUCCAUACAGCACCAAGAAGAGGGGUGUCAGAAAUUGUUGACAGAUGAAGAAUUCUAUUUCAAACACAAACCGUUAAUCACAACUCGAUAGGCCUUCCACACAGUAAUGAGUUUUAUAUUACGACAAAUUUUCGCUCACCGCUAGAGGAAAAGUUGACAAACUGUACACGUACAGCGAUGAUCUCUCUAGCGCGAUACCAUCAAGUACCAUUACGUUACACUUCAUCAAGUUUUUCAUCAAUAAUUCAGCCUAAAAUUCGUAAAACGCGCCGUAAAGUUAAAUCAUGCGAAAUAUAUCACACUUCCCUUUGGUUUCAAAAUUCAAUAAAUUGAAAAGUUAAUUAUAAAUCCAAUGGACAUCCCUGGACGAGGAGGACUGUGUUAUUUAGCGGUUGCCGUGUAUACUC